rnacentral:lncRNA from 1 species
GCUUUAGCAUUUUUUAAUUAAAUUACGAGCCGCAAUAAUGUUUUGCUAACUGCAGCUCCCCGCUUCCUUGUGGAGCAGCUCGCAGAAAGGUAUAAUUUUGCAAACAGUUUCUUUAAGAGCUAAGCCUGAAGUACCAUCAGCGAUGUGUGUGAAUAGAAAAAGAAACACCUCCACAAAAGGAGGGAUUGUUAAUGGAGGACAAUCCGAAGGGGGCCCACUAAGGCCUGUCCUUUACAAUAACGAUGGAGGGCGAUGAUUUGAAUGCAGGGGGCCCUACUUUCAAAUCUGGACAAAAACAAAAUGGUAAUCAGGGUUGAAUCCCUCACUGGUCAAAGCAGUGGGCAGCAACUGGUCUCUUUAACUGCCCCCACCCCCUCCUUCCUCCAAAGCAGACCCCAAACAAGAGGAACUCUCCUCCUCUUUAACUUUAUUUCCUUGAUUAGCUCUAAAAAAAUAAUCACCCGGCUGGACUUGGGGGAAGUUUUUUAGGGGCUGUUUGAAAGCAGAGGGCUCCUCUCCUGCAGGUGCUGCGGGGAUGCGCCUCACCAUGGGCAGCUACAAAAAUCCCUGCAAAGUGGUCCCUGCUGGCAAAAAGAACCCUCAAGACAAAACCCAAGGUUUAUUACGGAGUAUGAAAAUCAGGAAGCUUUUUGUUCACUUCAUACAUCUCUUCCGACAAAGCCAGGCAUCAGAACCCGGCACAGACUCCAGAGUGAUUAUUGUUACACAUGAUCUAUGGAGCAGAUAAAUUACAGCUUGAUUUUUAUAAGUCUGUUGCACCGGAGCUGUCGGCCAUGCUGUUCCAGUUCAGGGGCUCCUGCAACAGAAAAGAUCAGCUGUUGGAGAACCCAUGGAAAGCCCUGGGGGAGAGCCAUGGCCGCAAGGGAGGAGGCACAGCCACAGCCCCCAGCCAACACUGAGCACUGCUCUGAGUGGAGCCGCUGCUCCGGGCAGGUGGGAGCAGCCCACAGUGCUGCGCUGCAUCACAGCUUCCGGAUCCCCCUCUCCAUCUCUAAUUAAGAUUCAAAUUGAGUAUAGAAAUUAUGUGUAAGUAAGAUGCUAAUUAUUAAAGUCAUUGAUCUCCCAGACAAUAAA